GGACGCAUAGCUCAGUUGGGAGAGCACCUGCCUUACAAGCAGGGGGUCAUAGGUUCGAGCCCUAUUGUGUCCACCA
rnacentral:tRNA from 2 species